rnacentral:rRNA from 1 species
AACACAUGCAAGUCGAACGGUAACAGGCCUAGCUUGCUAGGUGCUGACGAGUGGCGGACGGGUGAGUAACACGUAGGACUGUGUCCGGAGGUGGGGGACAACCGCGGGAAACUGCGGCUGAUACCGGAUGAUACCUGAGGGUCAAAGAUUUAUCGCCUUUGGAGGGGCCCGCGUCGGAUUAGGUAGUUGGUGGGGUAACGGCCUACCGAGCCUGUGAUCCGUAACUGGUCUGAGAGGAUGACCAGUCACACUGGGACUGAGACACGGCCCAGACUCCUACGGGAGGCAGCAGUGGGGAGUAUUGGACAAUGGGGGCAACCCUGAUCCAGCAAUGCCGCGUGGGUGAUGAAGGCCUUCGGGUUGUAAAGCCCUUUCGGCGGGGACGAUGAUGACGGUACCCGCAGAAGAAGCCCCGGCUAACUUCGUGCCAGCCGCCGCCGUAA